AGUGACAGGCUCGUCAACAACACCAGCCAUCAUGACACUUUGCCAGUAAAACAAGACGGGAGACCACAUCAAAACAAAGGCAACAACUCAGGUUUAUGAAAAGUGACCUGGAAGAACCUGAGUUUCAUGUAUCCGUAUCCAACUCCCCGCAACAGCUCAGGAGAACUGAAGGCCAUUGGGUGUCCUCCAAUCCCACUGGCAAACCAAUAGCCCCUAUACAGCCAGGAGCUCCACAGUGGAUGUCAGCGAGCUACUGGCCUCUAGAGGAUGAAAGCCAGCCCUGUAGAUG